rnacentral:rRNA from 1 species
GGUCAGGAUGAACGCUAGCGGCAGGCUUAACACAUGCAAGUCGAGGGGCAUCGGGAGUAGCAAUACUUGCCGGCGACCGGCGCAAGGGUGCGUAACGCGUGAGCAACAUGCCCGUAUCAGGGGGAUAAUCCAUGGAAACGUGGUCUAAUACCCCAUAGUAAUUAUGUAAGGCAUCUUAUAUAAUUUAAAGCUUUGGUGGAUACGGAUUGGCUCGCGUGACAUUAGCUAGAUGGUAAGGUAACGGCUUACCAUGGCUACGAUGUCUAGGGGUUCUGAGAGGAAGGUCCCCCACACUGGAACUGAGACACGGUCCAGACUCCUACGGGAGGCAGCAGUGAGGAAUAUUGGACAAUGGAUGGAAAUCUGAUCCAGCCAUGCCGCGUGCAAGGAAGACGGCCCUAUGGGUUGUAAACUGCUUUUGUAUGGGAGCAAUAAGGGCUACGUGUAGUCCGAUGAGAGUACCAUACGAAUAAGCACCGGCUAACUCCGUGCCAGCCGCGGC